UACGGGGGGGCAAGCGUUGUUCGGAAUUACUGGGCGUAAAGGGCUCGUAGGCGGCCAACUAAGUCAGAUGUGAAAUCCCCGGGCUCAACCUGGGAACUGCAUUUGUGACUGCAUGGCUGGAGUGCGGCAGAGGGGAUGGAAUUCCGCGUGUAGCAGUGAAAUGCGUAGAUAUGCGGAGGAACACCGGUGGCGAAGGCGGAUCUCUGGGCCUGUCCUGACGCUGAGGCGCGAAAGCUAGGGGAGCGAACAGG
rnacentral:rRNA from 1 species